CUCAAAAGUUUCUGAGUCAUUACUCAAGCACAGGUUUGAAGGGUGUGUGCUGAUCAGGAAGGAUGGAAGUAAAGGUAAGGGUGGUGGAGUAGCACUGUAUGUCAAUGGCGUGGUGGACUAGAGAAACGAUGGAAUGGAUACAAUGGAAUCUAUUUGGAUAAAAUUCAGUUUGGGGAAGAAUGGUAACAGAGGCUGUACAGAGAUAGUGCUUGGGAUCUGCUACAGACCCCCAGGAUCCGAUUUGGAUAUGGAUAGAGACCUCUUU